rnacentral:rRNA from 1 species
UACGUAGGGGGCUAGCGUUGUCCGGAAUCAUUGGGCGUAAAGAGCGUGUAGGCGGUCCGGUAAGUCCGCUGUGAAAGUCGGGGGCUCAACCCUCGAAUGCCGGUGGAUACUGUCGGGCUAGAGUGCGGAAGAGGCGAGUGGAAUUCCUGGUGUAGCGGUGAAAUGCGCAGAUAUCAGGAGGAACACCUAUUGCGAAGGCAGCUCGCUGGGACGUAACUGACGCUGAGACGCGACAGCGUGGGGAGCAAACAGG